CAGUAACAGAUCAUGAAAAAUAUCUUUCUCCUCACUUCAGUGGAGAGGAAAGCUAACAGGGUAUAGAAGAUCAUCCAAUUUCUACCAGCCAUCAUGUUAGUCCUGACGAAUGGUCUCGGCCUGAAACGUCGACUGCACCUCUUCCUACAGAUGCUGCCUGGCCUGCUGCGUUCACCAGCAACUUUGAUGUGUGUUGAACAUAUUUGUUGAGAUAUGAGAGAAGCAACGCACACAUUGAAGGAGAGAAGACUGCAUGAGUGUUGCUGCGUGCAGAACAUAAUGGUCGGUGUCAAGAUGAUUGAUAAAGCAUGCACAAACAUGCUCAUCAGGACUGUGCAAAGUGCUUUAAGACAUGGUAAUUUGAAGGUUGAACAAGUCCACGGUGAGGCUUUGAGUUAAAAAUAUCUCUUGGCAGUAAAAGCUUUUACUCAGUAUUAGUCAUCCACACUGUUUUUGAUAUACUGUGCAAAGGCUUUCAAAGCCUUACCCACUGAAGAUGGUAACUGGAGAAC